rnacentral:misc_RNA from 1 species
UCCCUGUUACCAGGGCAGUCAAGCUAGAGAAAUUCAACUAACUAUAAGGGUUGCGCUCGUUGAAGGACUUAACCUAACAUCUCACGACACGAGCUGACGACGGCCAUGCAACACCUGUCACUUGGUUCAAUAAAGCACUCUCUGCUUUCGCAGAAAUUCCAAGGAAGUCAAGCCUGGGUAAGGUUCUUCGCUUACCAUCGAAUUAAACAACACGCUCCACCGCUUGUGCGGGUCCCCGUCAAUUCCUUUAUGUUUUAGUCUUGCGACCGUACUCCACAGGCGGGAUGCUUAACGCGUUAGCUCCGCUACUACACGGGUCGAUACGUAUAACAGCUAGCAUCCAUAGUUUACGGCGUGGACUAC